GAUGAACGCUGGCGGCGUGCCUAAUACAUGCAAGUCGAGCGAACAGACGAGGAGCUUGCUCCUCUGACGUUAGCGGCGGACGGGUGAGUAACACGUGGAUAACCUACCUAUAAUACUGGGAUAACUUCGGGAAACCGGAGCUAAUACCGGAUAAUAUAUUGAACCGCAUGGUUCAAUAGUGAAAGACGGUUUUGCUGUCACUUAUAGAUGGAUCCGCGCCGCAUUAGCUAGUUGGUAAGGUAAAGGCUUACCAAGGCCACGAUGCGUAGCCGACCUGAGAGGGUGAUCGGCCACACUGGAACUGAGACACGGUCCAGACUCCUACGGGAGGCAGCAGUAGGGAAUCUUCCGCAAUGGGCGAAAGCCUGACGGAGCAACGCCGCGUGAGUGAUGAAGGUCUUCGGAUCGUAAAACUCUGUUAUUAGGGAAGAACAGAUGUGUAAGUAACUAUGCACGUCUUGACGGUACCUAAUCAGAAAGCCACGGCUAACUACGUG
rnacentral:rRNA from 1 species